rnacentral:rRNA from 1 species
UACGUAGGGUGCAAGCGUUAAUCGGAAUUACUGGGCGUAAAGCGUGCGCAGGCGGUUUUGUAAGACUGUCGUGAAAUCCCCGGGCUCAACCUGGGAAUUGCGAUGGAGACUGCAAGGCUAGAAUCUGGCAGAGGGGGGGUAGAAUUCCACGUGUAGCAGUGAAAUGCGUAGAGAUGUGGAGGAACACCGAUGGCAAAGGCAGCACUCUGGGACGUGACUGACGCUGAGACGGCGAAAAGCG